rnacentral:rRNA from 1 species
GACAGAGGUGCCGAGCGUUAGGCGGAAUCACUGGGCUUAAAGCGUGUGUAGGCGGGUGCCUAAGUACCUUGUGAAAUCCCACGGCUCAACCGUGGAACUGCUUGGUAUACUGGGUAUCUUGAGCCACUUAGGGGCAACCGGAACAAACGGUGGAGCGGUGAAAUGCGUAGAUAUCAGGAGGAACACCGGUGGCGAAGGCGGGUCUCUGGGCCGAUAUUGACGCUGAGGAGCGAAAGCGUGGGGAGCGAACAGG